UUACGGCCAUAUCACAUUGAAACAUCGGUUCUCCUACGAUCGACGAAGUUAAGCAAUGUUGAACCGGUUCAGUACCUAGAAGUGUGACAACUUGGGAAUUCUUGGAAG